rnacentral:rRNA from 1 species
GGUGAACGCUGACAGAAUGCUUAACACAUGCAUGUCAACUUGAAUUUGGGUUUUUAACUUAGGUUUGGGUGGCGGACGGGUGAGUAACGCGUAAAGAACUUGCCUCACAGCUAGGGACAACAUUUGGAAACGAAUGCUAAUACCUAAUAUUAUGAUAAUAGGGCAUCCUAUAAUUAUGAAAGCUAUAAGCGCUGUGAGAGAGCUUUGCGUCCCAUUAGCUAGUUGGAGAGGUAACGGCUCACCAAGGCGAUGAUGGGUAGCCGGCCUGAGAGGGUGAUCGGCCACAAGGGGACUGAGACACGGCCCUUACUCCUACGGGAGGCAGCAGUGGGGAAUAUUGGACAAUGGACCGAGAGUCUGAUCCAGCAAUUCUGUGUGCACGAUGAAGUUUUUCGGAAUGUAAAGUGCUUUCAGUUGGGAAGAAACAAAUGACGGUACCAACAGAAGAAGUGACGGCUAAAUACGUG